ACCUCAAACCAAAAUACAUGACUUUCAAAGCAACAUAUCUUUUCGAGUGAUGCAUCAUUGCGCCAUAACCUAAAUCUCUGAGCUUAUUUUUCUUCUUUCCGUGACCUUCCAAAACUCCGUUUUUCAGAACAGAGUCAUUACCUUUCUCCUUUGACUCUUGGCAACUGCAAUUCGAAAGCUGAGCAGAUAAUUUAGCAUUUUCAGAUUCCAAA
rnacentral:misc_RNA from 1 species